ACCAGAGUACCCAAAAGUAUCAUUUGAAAAUCGGUGUACGGUGAAGUGAACUACAAAGUACCCGGGGUACGGGGUAGUAGUAACUGUGUGGAACUUGACCCAUUCAGCCAUGCGACAUGGUUUACGAGCCAAUGGAGACAAACGACUAAAAGUCAAUAUUUACUGGAGUUUGAUGGCAGAUAAAUCAACUUGUUAUAGUAUGUUUAAUCACCGAUCGCUGUGUGAAAAUUGCUAGCAAAUCGGAUUAGGCUGGGCGAAUGCUAUCAACACUGGAAUGUAAUGAGCUAGUACAAAGUACGUCAGUUAAACUACAAUGCUACUGAAAAAACUAAAACUGAGGCAUGUAAAACGGAAGACAAGCAAAACGACUUUUCAUUUUUAGGAGUAUCAUAUUCGAAGUCGUCGAUGUGUUGUUUUGUUAUUUAAUUCUCACACAGUUAGUAAGAGACAAUUGAGCCACCCCAGAAGUUUCUCAUUUACUAUGCUAUUAAGCUAGGCUUUGUUGAAGUAUUUAUCCACCAUGGAAGAUUCGCAAGGAAGCGGUAUAGAAACUGGUUCGGAUCUAAGAUUUCACGACGAGAUAGCGUCAGGAUCGUUAUCACAGGUGGAAAAGUACUACCACCUUAUGCACAACAACAAAAAGCUAAUAUUUGAAAUAAAAAUUGGAAUAAUUUCGGUGUUUGGGUUUAUAAUUAUUAUCAUGUGCCUACUAUAUAUUAUCGCUCAAUGUCGAAGAGGAUCGUUUGGUCGAUGGACAUUCUUUCCAAAAAAUAGACGGCGACAUGAUUCAAUAUCAGACGGCCUCAUACACGACUCGACCGAACAUCUUAUUUCUGGAAAAGUGUGUUUGUCUAUAACAACUGCACAUGACAGGGAAUUAUUUGUAUAAUUUAAAUAAUAACAAUGACUUAACCACGCUCAUAACGAAAUUCGAGCAAAAUAUAUGCAAUGUUAACAAGCAUGUGCCAAAGCACAUGUGCAUAAUUGUUUUAACAAUUUUAUAUUUUGUCUUAUUCUUUAUUAAACAAAUGUAUCAUUGUAUUGUUAAGAAUGUCGUCCUGAGGUUAAGUUUGGUCCAGAUAUAUUUCUUUUAUAUGUUCAUAUAUUGUAUCUGUACAUAUCUUUUUGUGUGCAUUUUUCUACUUUUGGAAAGUUUUGAGUAAAUAAUAUUUUGUCUGCGAAAUUAUGAACGCUUUAAUAUGCGCAUUUACAACAAAAAUUCUGUUAAAAGACAACUUCCUUCGAAAUAUUUGUAUACUGAAGACGGACAAUAUGUACCUGAAAUGGAUGAAUUCUUAAAACAAUUGUAAACAUGUUUUACGUCGCUGCAGAUUUUGUAUAUUAUAUAACAAUUUAUUGCUUAUACAAUAGACAAUUGUCCAUGAGUAUACAGCACAUAAAUGUUAUGUGCAUAACAAACGAGUGGUCAAGUGACUAGUAAAUUGUAUAAAAAUAGGGCACAUGUUGUGACCAUGAUAAAUCUACAUCAAAUGAUUAUGUACGCAUGUAUUCUAAUUGUCUAAGAAUAAUCAUAAUGAAGAUUAAACAAGUUUCUUAGUUUAAAGGCUAUGUUCACAUAUGAUGCAAUAUUGUUAUUAUUUCGAACAUUUUCGGAUUUCAUCAAUUUAAGAAAUUUAAACAUAUUUGGCUUUUUCCAAUAGUAAAUAUCAAUGAACA